UGUCAUCAAUUGUAAGAUGCAUUCCAACCCAAAUAUAGUAAAAUGUGGGGGCAGGCAGAAAGUGUCCAAGAAUUGCCAAGGCAGGGUGUAUCUAUAAGAACGGUCUUCCCAGCAUUAUUUGUAAUAAUGAGAAAUUAGAGACAGACUAAAUAUUCAGCCGUAAGGGGAAUAAAUUAUGUAUAGUCCUAACAAUUGAAUACUUUAGCUAUUAGGGAGAAUGAGAGAGAUCACUAUGGUUUGACAUGAAAAUGUCCCAAGAUUAUAUUGUGAAGAGGAAAAAGGCUACUUACAGUAGAAUUAGCUUUCUGCAGCAGCUGGGGUAUGACAGCCUUGUCCCUGAUCUGUAAUUCCAGACAACUCCAGGGUGAACUGGCAGACCAAUCCAGAGCUACUACGUCAGAUAAAGUGAUGCUGUUUGCACAACUCAAUGUCCUCAAGAGAUACUCAUGUAAUACCCCCAAUUUGUAUUCUGCAUAAAACUCCUUUUACAAAACAUAAACUUCCCAGAGGGAGCAAACGUAGCCUGCUAAAAGAUGCUGAACAUAUGACUGUGUAAUGUAAUUUUAAACUCAGAAGGAAUUGGCUAAGCCUUUCCCAUCCUAGAAACCGAAAGCUAUGAAAGAACCCGCGAUUUCUUUUUAAGUAUAAAAUUAUAGCAUUCUUAAUUUUGGGAUUCUAAUCAAGCCAUGUUCUAAUUCUAGUCAAGCAAUGCUAGACAUGAUGGAUGAAUAUAAAUAUUUGAAUUGUAUAUAUUAUGAUAUUUAAGCACUCUACUCACAUUUAUCACAAAAAAUUUAAUUGAUUUAUUAUUUGUGCUUAAUUGACUUACAUUUGAAGCAGCUAAUUAAAUGAUUUCUAUAGUCACAUUAAUUGAAUUAGAGAAACUUUGAGUAAAUGA